rnacentral:tRNA from 1 species
UGUUCUGUGGCUUAGUUGGUUGAAGCGACGGACUAGCGAUACGGAUUCGUGUGUUUAAAUCCCACCAAAUCAA